CUCGAACUCCUGGGCUCAAGCUAUACUCCCAUCUCAACCUCCCGAGUAGCUGGGAUUACAGACGCGCGCCACCGUCUGACUAAUUUUUGUAUUUUUUGUAGAGAUGGGGUGUGAGGUGGGGGGGUGGAGGCUGGUCUCGAACUUCUGCCCUUAGGCGAUCCUCCCGCCUGGGCAUCCCACAUCGCUGGGAUUCCAGGCAUGAACUCAGUGGGCGCCUCCGUCUUCUAACUUCUGGCUGAGCCAGAAGAUGAUUGAGGGAGAAGGAGGACUUCCGGUUUUAAAAUGGCGGCUUGACUUCCCCGCCCCCCAGAAAGCCAAAAACAAAUAUGCAGCCCGGAGAUUUUCCUCAGCGAGAAUCCGAAGCUCAGAUUUGAGGAUGAGACAGAUCCUGGGACCACGGAGAAGUGAAAAUCUUCCGAGCAGGCGAAUCUUGCUGUGUUGCCCAGGCAGGAAUGCAGUGGUGCAAUCACGGCUCACUGCAGCCUCUACCUCCUAGGCUCAAGCAAUCCUCAGCCUCCUGAGAGUAGCUGGGACUACAGCUCCUCUCUCGAUCGGAAGAUUUUUACAGCCACCCUACUGAUCUUUAGGGAUUUGUAAACUAUUACCCAGGAAGAAGGCCCAUGGAGCUAAGGCCUCAGAACACCAAAGUCUGGACUGUCUGAGGGCACAUGCUAAUAACAGGAGGCUGGCAAAGUGGCCAGCUCCCAUGCCUUUGCAUGCAUUUGUCUUUACCUCCUGCUGCCUGGGAACAUCCUUCCAGGAGCAAUCGAGUCAACAGCACCACAGACACUGCUAUUCCGUUGAGAAAAGUUUUAUAUGGAAACACAUACUGAUCAUGAACACAAUAAACAGGGAGGGAAGCUCGGGCUCAGCCAGGAAACCUGCCACAAGGAAGAU
rnacentral:lncRNA from 10 species